ACUCAAAUGAAUUGACGGGGAUUCGCACAAGCGGUGGAUUAUGUGGCUCAAUUCGUCGACAAACGAAGAACCUUACCAAGGUUAGAAAUCCAACUGCAUACUUUUCGAAAGAUUAGUAGCCUUCGAGGGUGUUGGACAGGUGUUGCACGGUCGUCGUCAGUUCGUGGUUUGAACUGUUCCCUUCAGUGGGGUAACGAACGCAACCCCCGUUGCCUGUUGCCUAUAUGGCCAGGCGAGACUGCUCCCUUGCGGGAGAGGAAGGUGGGGAUGACGCCAGAUCAGCGUGACCCUCUGAUACCUUGGGCUGCACACAUAAUACAAUGGUUGGUACAACGGGAUGCAAGACCGCAAGGUGGAGCAAAUCCUUCAAAACCAACCUCAGUACGGAUUGAGGUCUGCAACCGACCUCAUGAAGCUGGAAUCGCUAGUAAUGGCAGGUCAGCCAAACUGCCGUGAAUACGUUCUCGAAUCUUGUACACACCGCCCGU
rnacentral:rRNA from 1 species